GUCAAUGGUGCGAUGGAAUCCCUCCUUAAUAGUUGGCUGCCCCGUCUCCCAUUCCCCAUCCCUCCCCAAACGUCACAAAUGCCACCCUUAAAGGACGCGGCAGAACUCAACCUCAUCUAGGGUUUGUGGCCGCUGGCGAGGUUGGAAGCGGUGGCUACCGCGGCGAUGGAUGGGAAAGGGAAGGAUCUGGAGGAUGGGUGGAACUUCAUGUAGAAGGGCAUCAAAAAGCUCAUCAACAUAUCAAGGGCAAGCGGGAAUCGCAGUUCAUCUUCGAGUACUACGUGAUGUUCUAUACGUCAUCAAGCGUGUGCCUUCCUGAUCCCCAAACAAGUGUUCGCUCGCUGGUGACUUUUCUAAUCUGCAAAACUGUUUUUCUUCCCUGCUUGCUGUACAUGGGUGGCACUUCGACAGGGGCACCAACCAUACAUUAAUUUACUUCCAUUUUUAUGUUUAAAAGAAUUUAGAAAACGGAUGCCUUUGGACAUUUUUAUUUGAAAUUGCUGAUUCAAGCUUCGUAGAUUGGCUGAUGAUGGGUGGCGAGAUGUCUUCUAUCUACAAAAUUUUGAAGACUUGGGAAGCCAUCUAAUAUUUCUGGCAGCAUUUAGACUGAACUGGAGGAGAACAAAUUUGAUACACAAAGCAAUUUUGGUCACGCGAGGGCUUGAGGUCACACGUGUGUCACUCGAGUGUGCAAGCUGUUGACUGCAUUUCAGCAAGACCAUUUAAUGACAUGCAUGUGCAAAAUAUCAAUAAAUGAAACCUACCCAUUCUAUUUAUUGUAAAUGUGUUCUAGAUUGUAACAUCCUUCUAUGGAGAUCUAAAUGGUCAAGGCGAUCGGAUUUAAACCA